UUGAAAGUAGUUUAACCGGUAAAACAGAGAACUUUGACUUCUCAAAUGUAAGUUCAACCCUUAUCUUCCUAA
rnacentral:tRNA from 1 species